GUAAUUUCUUGAUUCUGACUUAUAGUUAUGAAUAUUCAAUGUAUUGUUCUGUGAUUGAAAAUGUUAUACCAUUAUGAUCAGGUUUAACUUAUUAUGUGGGUUAAUUUUGAUGACAUCCUACAAUACCGUUGACUGUGACCUACUUUAAUUUCAUUCGAAAGCUAAGUUUGAGAUUUUUGUGUGGUUAAGAUGCAACUGGUAAUUAGUAAUUAGUCGUGCAUUCUGUGUAUCACUGGAUUAAUAAGGGUGGUUGAAUAACUUUUGAUAUUUUCCAAUGAACAAUACACAUAAUUAAUUAUUGUUCAUCUAAUGACUUUUUCUUAAAUAUCUUUAGAGUCAAGAUGCCUUCUUUAAAUUUUAAACUUACGCUAUUUGUUCAGUGCCUCAAAUUUUUUAGUUUAGAUUUAAAACUCUAAAAGACAUUGUCAAUUUAUGGGGAGAAGUUUGCUGUUGAAAAUUUCAAAAUCAAACAUACCAGACCUGGUAGGAGAACUGCCUAUGCCCCAGAACCUCCCCUUCCCUAAUACCAUCUCACUCCAUGAUUUCAGAUUUCUAAGUUUCACUGUGUGAAAGCAUCCUUUGUGUCAUCUUAUUAUUUUUGCUCAAUUUUCAGGGCUUAGGUCUAUGGCAAAUGAUGGGCAGGACACUAAUGGUUCACAAUUUUUCAUCUGUGACGACCAACUGGUAACUAUACAAUUUAUGAUCCUGCUAUUAUGAGAAAACUGUCAUCCAUCUUCAGAUCUUCUAUCUGGUGCUUCUAUUUAGCCAGAAAAUCUAACAAAAUUUAAAUGUUCAAUAGGUUGGAUGGUCGUCAUGUUGUAUUCAGAAAGGUGCUGUCCGGAAUAGAUGUGGUGUAUAAGAUAGAAGCCAAAUGCAACUAGAGUGGAACAACCAAAAACAAAGUUGUGAUUGCAGACAGUGGUGAACUUCCCCUGUAAUCAGCUUGUACUUGAACUUGUCAGUUUUACCCUUCUACUCACUUCUGCUUACUGCAGAUUAUGGAUCUUAAUUUACAUACCUGAAUUAUGUUAUUUAGGAAAAUGAAAUAGGUACCAGAAAAGUACACUUUUUAGUUUGGCACCUAAUGAAAUAGGUACCAGAAAAGGCACGUAGAAUGUAUAUUAGGAAAGAAGAGAGGAAACAUAUGCGAUUUCUCUUACAUUAUUGACAGAGAUCAUUAGGGAUAAUGUUACCAACCUUUAGAAGGUUCGUUUUACAUUUUUUUGAUCUGUUCAGUGACCUUUCCUUUAGUUAGCAUUUAUACAAUUUCUCUCUGUCAUAAAUGCAGCAGAAAAGAAGACAAAGAAAUAGCAAGAAGUCGUAAUUGCGUAGUGAAGAAGUUUCAAAGGCACUAAGAAUGAAUUUUUUUCUGAAGUGGUAUAUACUUUUGAGAAGUAUUGAAAUGAAUUUUACAUUGAUAUAUUGUAUUAAACUGUACUCAAUAUUUAUGAAAUCUAAGAAAAACCUGGUUAUAUUUAUGGAAUUUUGUUUUGUAAUUAUUAUUAGUAAUCAAAUAAAUAAACAAUUUUUUCUUUUAAAAAAUAAAAUUUACGUUGUGCAUUUUGUACGCCGUAAAAAAAAAUACGUUACCUCGUUAAAAAACUCACCUUGCGCACGCCGUAAAAGGUUUUAACGGCUUUCAUAGAUGACAUGCAUUGCACUCCGUAAAAAGUAAAUACUUUUUUACGGCAUUGCUUUAUACGGCAUGUAGGAGUGGAUACUUUUUUCCAGAACCGGUGGAACUGGACCGAAAUCGUUUAGAACCGAUCGGUUUGGUUCCGGAUCUUCUAAAAAAUAAUUUGAUUUCGGGACAAAUUUUUAAGAACCGAUUGGUUUCGGUCUGGUUCUCGAUUUUAGUAUGGGAACCGAGGGAACCAGACGGUUCUCAUUGGACUUUUUCUUUUUUUCUUUUUUUUUUUGGUAAAAUAUAUGACUCAAUUUUCAAACUUUUAUAAAAAAUAAUCGGGUUCCUUCUUAAUUUUAGACUCCAGCACUUUCCUUCUUCACUUUGAUUCUUUCCUUGUCUCUUCUUAUAGUUCUUUGAUUAAUUGAUUUUCAAGCCAAAUUAAAAUAUUGGGUAAAUCUAUACCUAAAUAAAUUUAUUUACAAAAUAUAAUUUCAUUUAUAAGAUGUGAAAUUUUUAUUUUGUUUUCACUUUGUAAAUCUAUACUUAAAUAAAUCUUUGACUAGUAUGUUCAGUUUUUCUAUAUUUUGUUAAAAGUAUCACAUUGGUAGUAUUUUUAGAGUUUUAGUAGUGAACAUUUUAUUUUGACAUUUUCAAUGUAAAGAACCGGACCGAACUGAAUCGGAACCGAUUGGUUCGGUUCCGAUUUGGUUCCACAGUUAACUAUGGAACCAAUGGUUCAUUUCUAAAAUUCUCAUUGGUAUUUGGUUCGGUUCGAUUUCCUUUGGAAUCGGACCAAAUCGGACCGUGCCCACACCUAACGGCAUGCGGCUGCACGCCGUAAAUUGGUUUUUACGGCAUGCAAUGCUUGCAUGCCGUAAAAAGUGCAUUUUGUUGUAUUGCGUGACCAAUCUAAUGACUUUUUCUUAAAUAUCUUUAGAGUCAAGAUGCCUUCUUUAAAUUUUAAACUUACGCUAUUUGUUCAGUGCCUCAAAAUUUUUAGUUUAGAUUUAAAACUCUAAAAGACAUUGUCAAUUUAUGGGGAGAAGUUUGCUGUUGAAAAUUUCAAAAUCAAACAUACCAGACCUGGUAGGAGAACUGCCAAUGCCCCAGAACCUCCCCUUCCCUAAUACCAUCUCACUCCAUGAUUUCAGAUUUCUGAGUUUCAUUGUGUGAAAGCAUUCUUUGUGUCAUCUUAUUAUUUUUGUCCAAUUUUCAGGGCUUAGGUCUAUGGCAAAUGUUGGGCAGGACACUAAUGGUUCACAAUUUUCAUCUGUGACGACCAGCUGGUAACUAUACAAUUUAUGAUCCUGCUGUUAUGAGAAAACUGUCAUCCAUUUUCAGAUCUUCUAUCUGGUGCUUCUAUUUAGCCAGAAAAUCUAACAAAAGUUAAAUGUUCAAUAGGUUGGAUGGUCGUCAUGUUGUAUUCGGAAAGGUGCUGUCCGAAAUAGAUGUGGUGUAUAAGAUAGAAGCCAAAUGCAACUAGAGUGGAACAACCAAAAGCAAAGUUGUGAUUGCAGACAGUGGUGAACUUCCCCUGUAAUCAGCUUGUACUUGAACUCGUCAGUUUUACCCUUCUACUCACUUCUACUUACUGCGGGUUAUGGAUCUUAAUUUACAUACCUGAAUUAUGUUAUUUAGGAAAAUGAAAUAGGUACCAGAAAAGCACACUUUUUAGUUUGGCACCUAAUAUUAUGAGUCCAUAAGGCAUGUAGAAUGUAUAUUAGGAAAGAAGAGAGGAAACAAAUGCGAUUUCUCUUACAUUAUUGACAGAGAUCAUUAGGGAUAUUGUUACCAACCUUCAGAAGGUUCGGUUUACAUUUUCUUGAUCUGUUCAGUGACCUUUCCUUUAGUUAGCAUUUAUACAAUUUCUCUCUCUCAUAAAUGCAGCAGGAAAGAAGACAAAGAAAUAGCAAGAAGUCGUAAUUGUGUAGUGAAGAAGUUUCAAAGACACCAAGAAUGUUUUUUUUUUCUGAAGUGGUAUAUACUUUUUGAGAAGUAUUGAAAUGAAUUUUACAUUGAUAUAUUGUAUUAAAUUGUACUCAAUAUUUAUGGAAUCUAAGAAAAACCUCGUUAUAUUUAUGGAAUUUUGUUUUGUAAUUACUAUUAGUAAUCAAAUAAAUAAACAAUUUUUUCUUUUAGAAAAUAAAAUUUACGGUGUGCAUUUUGUACGCCGUAAAAAAAAAUACGUUACCUUUUAUGGCGUGCAUGUGCACGCCGUUAAAAAACUCACCUUGCGCACGCCGUAAAAGGUUUUAACGGCGUUCACAGACGGCAUGCAUUGCACGCCGUAAAAAGUAAAUACUUUUUUACGGCAUUGCUUUAUACGAUAUCAGCAUGCGGCCGCACGCCGUAAUUUGGUUUUUACGGCAUGCAGUGCAUGCCGUAAAAAGUGCAUUUUGUUGUAGUCUAAAUUUGUUGCCCUAACUUGUCCUAUGCAUACAAAUAAAAUUUAUCGUUAUUCGACUCAAUCCUAAAGACAACAAUGAGCUAUGUACUUUAACUUGAAGUAUUCACGUUCAAAGGGUACAAACCUACUCUAUCCCUUAAUUCAAUCAAAUGAAACAAGCAAAGACUGGAACAAAAUGUUAGGCCUUGACCAUGUGAUCACAUGGUUAUUGGUCCAUGCUCUAGACGUAUUAGCACGCAACAACGUAGAAGAGUGCGUCAGAAGAUGUAGAACUCUUAAUAGAGAUUGAACCUAGCUAUUGAGGACCAUCCGUAUUUUUCAAUUAAUUUCGGGCCCAGCCACGUACAGCCGUAGAGGUCCCCAAUAUGUACCUGUCUUGUCCUGUCCAAAAUACUUUGCUGUGUAACCUUUAUCUAAUCGAAUUAACCUGUAUAUUCAAUACUUUUAUCUUUUCAAGAAUAAAGUUGGUUUGCCCUAAAAUUUUGACAUGCCAACUGACUGACCUUCACAUCGUGCAUGGAUCCUGCGUAAAUUUAAAAAAAAAAAAGUGCUGACCCCCAUGUGUAUGUGUUCGGUUAUCUCCUAUAUUCGUGUAGCAAAAAUCAUCUUUUCAAUUUUUUGGAGUCCUGAAAUGUGGCCGUUUCAAUAGACCGAUCAGGUCAAAUCUUGGGCCAACGAAGUUUUUUUGACAUAUGUGAUAUAAAUAUAGACUAGUUAUUCUAGUUAGAAAAUCUGUAGCUGGUGAAGGCAGACUCAAAUUGGUAAUCGUACAUAACAUAGCUGCACAACAAAACGUUGGCUUCGUUUUCGAGCAUCUUAAAAAUCUGUGGAGGACUAAAGAAUGUAACGUGUCAUUCCCUUCUAAGAGCAAAAUUUUUGAAAUGGCCCAAAAUUAUUUAUUAAUGGCUAGAUUUUUCGAGCAAUAGAUAAUCUUGGUAAAUAUUGCCGUCUAAAUGUCCUUAUUGGAGUAAUGGAGAGUCGAUCACUAUACAUGCAGCCACUCAAGUGGACGAUGUGAUUAUUAUUACUAUGCAUUUAACAUUUAGAUUAUUAUAUAUAGACACCAUAUUUUAAUUCUUAAUGAAGGUUCUAACAUUUUCUUUGUCUCCAACUUUUUUCGUGCUAUGCUUAUUCUUAAUUUUUAAUUAUGACAACUUUUAUCCAGAUAUUUUGUUUGCAAUCUUUGACAUGAUGUACAAAUAUUUUAUUGGACUUUUAUAUUUAUUUUUUUAUUUAUUAAAAAAUAUAACAACAAAUAAUUCCUUUUAAUCUAGCAUUAGUGGUGCUACAAUAUAUAGGUCGCAUUAUAUGUUGGUUUGAUUACAGAUAAAAUUAUGUUAUACAUUUAACUAUGCAAUUCUCUUAGGAUACGUUUGAUUGUGAGUAUGAAAUUUGUAUAAAAAGAAAAUAAAUUGUAGGUAAUUUAAUUGCCUAAAACUUAUUUGCAUGAAAAUUAUUAAUUAAAUAUGUUUAAUUAAUUUAAUUUUUAAUCUAAAAAAUAUUAUACUUGUUCGAUUUUUAUUGAUGGGUGGAUGAGAGAGAGUAGAUAGACGAGAGAAAGAGAGAGUGAAUUCCUCGAAAGAUAAAAUCCUAUCUUUCCUAAAGAAAAUAUUUUCCUUGAUUUUGAAGAAAAUAUAGUUACACGACCAAAAAAAGGAAAAUAUUUUUCAUGGAAAAAAUGUUAAUCAAACAGCACAAAAAUAAAAAUUUGAGUGAAAAAACACAUUUUCUAUGAAUAAUAUUGUCAAUCAAACGCACCCUAAAUUAAAAUUUAAUAUUCACGAUGAAUGAUAAUGUUGGGUUUAUCAUAUGAAUAGAGUAUGUGACUUUUUAAUGAAAGAGUAACUAAGUUGUGACUUUUAUCGGUUAACAUUUUCAAAGUUAUAUUUUUUUUUCCAAAAAAAAAGAUCAAAAAAUAUUUUUUAGGCUUACAAUUGAAAAUUCCCCAAGGUAAUGGGUUUUAGGUGUUUUAGUGCCCAUAUUUGAAAGCCCGUUUUAGCCUGUCAAGUUUUCGCUAGGUAGAUCCAGUCCAUGAUAACUGAUAAAUGAGAAAAUUACAUUCAUACCUGUUUUUCAAUUUUUCAUUCUAAUAAUCAGAAGAUAAAAAUUAUUCUUUCAAAAAUUAGGUGUAUCCCAACCCACCUCACCUCAAGCUUAAAACAUUUUUAAUCCAAAAAUGGUCAUGAUCGCUUCCAAAAUACACCCCAAAAUUUCACACCUCAUUCCACACCCAUGAACGUCAGUUCGACACCACCACCCAUGGGCAGAUUUAAUAGUGGGCUGUGCUUGAUUGUAGUCCACUACUGUCCAAGCCCAGAUGCAUUACAAAAUGAUAAAAGUGGAAAUUAUACAAUUCCAAUUGUUUCAAUUUCACAUUACAAAAAUCAGGUGAGAUGUAUUUUUAAUCAAAAUUCAGGUAUUAUAUAUUUAAAUAUAAUAGUCACCCCACACCCAAACGGCCAAACCCUAGCUAUAAUUUUUCUCUCUCCCUUCUCUCUACAUCUCUCGUUCUCUCUUCUCUCUCGUGCAUGCGGGCGACCCAAGCUCCGGUAACGACAACUAAUGAGAUGUGCCGUCGACAACGAGCUAUUGCAAACGGCGAUUCUUACGACGACGUCGAGCUGAUUCCAAAGUUCUGCCCCCAGGAAGAAAAUCUUCGACGCAGCUGUUUUACUGUUGGACUUGAACGACAUUCGAUUGUUCUCUGGCUCGCUCAAGUGGAAGCGCGGCAGCUGCUCCUUGCGGCGAAGACACUAUCCGGUGUAGGGAACAUCGUCUGCAGCCGCACGCAAGAGCGAGGAUACCAGCUCGUCGAAGCAUUGUACAGUGCAGAUAGUAAAUGAAGGUGAACAGAUCUGUGAGAUUGUCCUAGUUCUUCCCUCCGAUAUACUUGGUUCUCUCCUCCGAUGUGGGAUUUCAGUGAUUGAUCUGGUCUCUCGGUGUUGGGACUAGGUUGAACCAGUAUUAAAGUACGUAGACGGGUUGCGUUCUGUUAUUGCAAGUUGCCAAUACUGAAGGGAAGCUUAUUGUGAUUGGAGGAUGGAACCAAUCAAUUUGGGACCCGAUUUGACCUGUGUUGAUGAUGGCAGCAGCUUGUUUGGUGGGUGUCAUGUAAAUAGAGAUAGAGGAGAUGGUGGUGGUGAUGUGCUAUGAGUGGUGCGGUGUGCUGUGGGUUUGCUAGUGUGGUGGUAGUACAAGUAUAGUGGUGCUCAUGAUGGGUGGUGGCAGGAGACGGCAAUGCUCAUUUUGGUGAGGUGAUGGUGGCUCCGGAGGUGGUGAUAACGAAUUAUUGUUGAGUUGUUGAUGAUGUUGGUGGUGGUUGUGGUAGCGGUGAUGGGUGGGUUAUUUGUGACCAACAUUUAGGCGUUCGUGACCAUUUGGUUAAUUUGUGAUCAACAAACUGUGACUACAUGACUUAUAAUUUGAAUGAUCUAUGAUCUCAAAAUAAUUUUCGAAGUAACAGAUAUGAGGUUCCAAGUCCCACUAAUUGAUGCAAUUGGAUAUGUUGACCUGGUCAACUGGGUGGGAUUGGAAAAUAACGUCACCUAACUAGCCGCUAUAUAGAGGUCACAUGUUAAUUUUAUUGGAGGAUUCUUAAAAGUAUAUUGAGCUAGUUGAUCUUGUUAUUUCAAAGUUGGGGAAUGGAUUAUGCAGAAGUUGCAAUUACAAUGUCAUGUCAUUGUGUGAAACGUCAAGAUCCUCCUUUCCUUACUAAUUACUGGGCAAUCAGGCGAGGCCCCAGUAAAGAGAGUUGGCCAUACCAACAUGGUAAUUUCUUGAUUCUGACUUAUAGUUAUGAAUAUUCAAUGUAUUGUUCUGUGAUUGAAAAUGUUAUACCAUUAUGAUCAGGUUUGACUUAUUAUGUGGGUUAAUUUUGAUGACAUCCUACAAUACCGUUGACUGUGACCUACUUUAAUUUCAUUCAAAAGCUAAGACAUUGUCAAUUUAUGGGGAGAAGUUUGCUGUUGAAAAUUUCAAAAUCAAACAUACCAGACCUGGUAGGAGAACUGCCUAUGCCCCAGAACCUCCCCUUCCCUAAUACCAUCUCACUCCAUGAUUUCA
rnacentral:lncRNA from 1 species